rnacentral:lncRNA from 1 species
AUGAAGGAAAACAGGCCUUUUUGUGAACAUGAAACAGGCCUUUUUGUGAACGCGGCUCCCCGCGUUCCUCUGGCUGCCUGCCCGACGCAGGUCGGAUUGGAUGGGCCUGAUCACAGGAGGCUUCCAAGGGAGGCGGCUGGGAGCCGGGGGGCAGGAGCCGGAGGAGAGAGGGGUCCCUGGUGGGAGGAAUGGCCCAGGCGAGAGCUGGGGAACGGGCCCCUUCCUGCUUCUGCCCUUGCAAGGUGUGAAGCCAUGCGCCCCCAGGGGAGCCUCCUGAGAGGAGGGUGGGCCCUGUGUGCCCAAUACGGCUGUGGAGAGUGCGGGCAGGUGGGACUCCAGGCCUGGGCCAGCCCUUGUCCUCAGCCUCUGGCUGUCCCUCCGAGUCCCCCGUGGCCGUGUUCCUGGCCCCCUGCCUUCUUGCUGGGGAUCAAGGGGAAGCGUCAGGCCAUCUUUGUGCAGGAGGCUAGGGAUGUAGAGUUUGGCUUCUCCCAUGGGCAUCGGGAUCACGGGGGCAGGUGGCUGAACUUGCAGACGCUGGGUCCUCACUCCCAGCUCCAGGGCUGGAUGGGGCCUGGCCACCUGCUUUUUAACAGUCCUGGGUCCCCAGAGGUGGCCGGGGGCCCACAGAGCGCUCUGAGAAAUGCUGGGAGAGCCCUCAGCUUGGCCUGGCCCCAGGUGGGCCCUGGGGGCCUGCCUGUGGACCCUUGUCCCGCACACCCUCCAGCUCUUCCUCAGCACAGAUGGCAGGGCAGCAUUCUUGCAAUUUCUCACCGCGAGGCCUUCUUCCCUGGCCUUGGGCCCGGCCCACCUGCUCCCUGAAGAGCAGGUCCCUGUGGGUGGUGGAGGGCUUUUCCUCUAACAGCCACCUCUGCCCAAGAGACCCCCAAGCCCCUCCUGAGCUGCGGGGGCGCGUCUGCCCCCACCCC